CUUGUGUAGGGUGUCGAAUCCCAACAUGUCAUGUGAGGAUGGCCACGUUAUCCGAAGUCAGAAUCCUUUGGUGUGUCUGAUAAGAUGCACAUCCCUGGCCCUGCUGCCACUGCACUGAUUUAGAGAAAGACCAAGAAGAUGAAGUCACAGAAAGUAGCAGUUUAACGUCUGGCUGUUAAAAGGGACACAAAGCCCUUCUUCUGAAGAGCCCUCCCCCCCCCACCCCCCGCCUCCCUGCCCUGCCAUGACAUCCCUAGCAGUGGCUGUCUGGCUUCCAUAUGAAUGCUUCUGCCCACCAUCUCCUAGGCGGCCCAUCUUACUUCGUAUCAGUUGUAAGUUAUUACAAGAUGUAUCCCUGAAGGAAUCUAGAGUCCUCCUUCAGUCUCCCCCAUACCCAGCAAAGUGGAUUUCCAAAUUUCCUCAUGGGCAUGCCCUAAGCCUGUCUCUGAAGCCUCUGAUAUCACUCCCCAUCAUAUCAGUGUCUGCUUUUCUAUCUACUCUCCCACCUCACACACCGGAAAAAUGAGCUUUUGGCAAAAAUGCGUCUGUGCACAUGAGCACUGAGUACUGUACUGGCACAGAGUAGGCACUCCGUGAAAACCUGUGGCUCAGUAAACUCAUUCUCUCCCAUUUCCUUCCUUGGAUCUUUAUUCUACCUCUGAAACAUACAGAAUUCAUGUGAUCCCACGUCCAUGUGACAGCCCUUCAGAUCCUUGGAGAGAGAGCUCCCAAGUCCGCUACCAGGUCUCCUGGUAUCCAUUCCAGACUCCGCCCGCCAUCUGCUUCAACCAUUGUUGAUAGGAUACCGGGUCCACGUGCCCCAGAACCCUGACUGCCCUCCCUGUUUUCAGAGUAUGUCUCUCCCUGACUCACCCAGAAGUGAACCAGCUCUUGGAGGGUAGCUUGACGUGACACCACUUCUGCCCAUCGCCUUGGUCACUGCACUCUCUUAAAUACAGCCUGAGAUUACAUCCGCCUGCCGCUCGUUGCUGGCCUGUUCAUCUUGCAACCCUUGCUUUCCCGUGCAUCUGGUUGUUUCCACCACUUGCAGCCAGGCUGAGCCAGUGAGCCCUCCCUCACAGACCAGUGUGGGUUACAGCUCUGGGUGAAUCUAUGUCUCAUAAGGAGAGUUUGUUUAAGGCUGGAUGGGUGGCUGCAGGGACCAUAUGUCUGAGAACAGAGCACAGGUCACCGAGAGGUGAAAAGAUCCUGGUCCACUCAGCACAUUUGAAACUCAAGAGAGGAGGACCAAGAGGUAAAGGACUUAAGCAGAAUCCAAAUCACCACCAGGAGCCACAAUCUAUUGGAGCCCGUGGCUCCAACGGGCAGGACGGCAGCAUAAAUUUCAGUGAGGCAAAGCUAAGUGGUAACGGACUUUAACUUCUGUCAUAUAUAGUUAAUUUGCAGAAUAAAUUGGUCAGGGCAGCAAAAGGACUUAACAUCCACAUUCAUUUGAAAAACAGAAGCUAGAUGAGUAUCAAGAGGAAAAUGGAGACCGUUACGACAUUCCCUUGCUGGUUGGAAUAGUAUUAUUAUUAAAUAAUAUUUUUAUUAAAAAUUUCUAGACCGUUUGGUAGUUAAAGAUAUUUAUACACCAGCCUUCGCAGUGUCUCAGCAAGACAUUGAAUCUCCCUCUGCGGAACCACAUAAGCCCCCAGAGGCUCCCACCUGAGUGUAAGUCAUGUCAGCAUCCUGGCCACUCUCUCUGUCCGUCUUUGUCUCUCUCUCUCUCUCUCUGUCACACACACACACACACACACACACACACACACACACACACACACACUGUGCAAGGCAGGCUCUUGUCAUGUGGAGCGAAGGCAAGUACUGGUCACAUGCCAGUUCCACCCAUUUCAGAAUGUCAAGGAGUUUCUCUCCAUUAUGCUUGUCUUGUCCAGAUUUGAAGUCUGAAGGAAAAGAGAGGACAAGCCCCCAGGUGGAGCACAUAAAGGGCAGGAGACUGAAUACAUGGAGGAGGAGGUGGAAGGAGUCACACACAGAAUCUCCCUGAGGGGAUGGCUCUGGCAAAGCGAAGGGGACUCCUGGGCACCCUUGACUGGCAAAUGAUACUGCCUGGGAAGUAGGAGGAAGCAUCGUUAAUUCCACUCCGGAAAGGACCAGAAGCUCAGAGAGGCCCACGCUGGUCCUGGGAGCGGUGUCUCUCUGGUCCAGGCUUCUCCCUCCACUUGUGCCUGGGCUACUCCCGAGAGUGAUCCUGGCUCCUUCUGCCCCCGAGUGGUCUGAGGGUGCACUUGGCUUCCCAGCACAGCUUCCCAGACAGGACACACAAGACUGGGGAAAAGAGCUAACCUGCGGACAAGAGCACGGGAGGCUCUGCUGGGAGCCCGCUGAGCGUUACACUCACUCGGGUGGUCUCUCCACUAAUGGAGGGUCGCAAAGAGCCAUCCCACGGGUGCUCCUCAUUUUCCCCUCUCUCUGAGCCCCGUCCUCCGCCUCCAUCCCCAUGCCGCUCUGUCAGCAGGGAUAAUCCCGUGCAGCUCUGUACAUCCACAAGGCUGGGACUCUGAAUCUCCAUGUCAGGUUUAUUUUGAUGCUGACGAGGAGCUGCACAGAGCUGCGGCGGGGCCUCGGGAUGCUGAGGGAGCCGAAAACUUCUUCUCUCUUCCCAUUGCCUGGGGCCCUGGGAGGAAGUCCAGCAGGUGCACGGCCAGCCCCCAGGCAUCACUGGCCGUCGAUCAGGGGAGAGCUCAGUGGUUGAUGUCACAACGCUACAGGCUAUGGACACUGCAGUGGAAGGACUGCAGCUCUUACAUCCUGAGUGGCGUCUCCCUAAAACUCAUGCCCACCUCAUGUGACCUUACUUGGAAACGGGUUCUCUGCCGAUAUAAUUCACAGAGUGGGUCCCAAAUCCAACGACUGGUGUCCUUAGAAGGAAGAGGGAAACUUGGAAAAUUUGGGCACAGAGAAGGCGACCGCCUAACAGCUGAGACCAGGAUCGGAGCGGUGCAGCUUCAAGCCGAGAGACUCCAAGAAAUGCCAUGAGGUGAGCCACUAGAAGCUGGCAGGGGCGAGGAAGGAUUCUUCCCGAGAGCUUGCAGAGGAAGCGUGACCCUGUGGACACUUUGAUUUGGGACUUUGUGCCUCCAGAACUGGAGGAAUAAAUUGUUUGAAGCCACUCUGUUGGUGCUGAUUUGUUUUGGCAGCCCUAGGAAAUGAAGGGGGAGAGACUGGAUAAGAACAAAAACCUUGGAGAACCGCUCAGAGUCGCAUCAAAGGCAUCUGGUGAGUAACGUGUCGGGCUGUAAGAGGCAAAUGAAAAAAUGGAAUCACGUCAACAUUACAAAAGGGUGUUCGACAGUGUGCACGUAUAUUCAUUACACUUCAGCCAAGGCUGAGCAAGUACCAGCGGAGUACCCAGUGCUGGGCUCUGGGGACAUAUGGGCGAGUAAGGCCCCAUCCUGGAGAAGAGUGGGACAGACAAGACAUGGAACCAAACUCAGUCUGAUGCAGUGGUGGGUGCUCUUCUGGACACGGGCUCCAGGCGCUGCUAUUCCAUUUUUUGGACUCAACCUCUCCUCCUAAGUGGACCAUCACUCUUACUGACCAAAACAGAGGCUGACAGAGGCUUUGCUUCUAAAUCUGCACAGUCACAAUUGAUAAACAAAACGAUCACCUGAGGUGCCUUGAGGAAAGGCUUAAUUCUGUGUGGUAGGCAAUGCUUCACGAGGCAGGCAGAAAAUUGGAAAACUGCAUUUUUAGAGAAGAAAAAUGUCAACAGGAAUUGGAGGAAAAGUAAGCAUUUUCUGGCUAAGUAUCAAUUAAACAAAAAAUUCAAUUUUCCAGAAGACACCUUUUCUUCAACCCCACAGUUAAUUGUGCUUUGCCAAGGUGCCCAGUGGAUGUUUGACGACUGCUAAUUAUUUAACUGGACCUCACCACACCCAGAGAUGCUGCUCAUGCCUAUAACAAAGACCAUUUGCUCUUUCCAGAAGCUUCCUGAAGAAGUGCCAAAGAACUAGAUCUGAAGUUUCGGAAACUUUAAUUUGAGGGCCAAAAGAAUACAUCCUGACACAGGAUAUUUUUUAAUUGUGAAUUCAUGUGUAGGGAAGGGCAGGAAUAUAAAGUCUAUGUCCAACACGUUGGACAGUUGUGAACCAAUGGUUUUCUAGUAUUUAAUCCCAAAAGCACAUCCCCAAAGAUGUGUUUCCUCUAAGCUCAUGGGUAAUGAUGAAUGUGUGCCUGGAAACGUGGGUGGGCUCCUGUGUACAGGCUGAGAUGGGGCAAGGUAGGAAAACCGCAGAAGAUACAGGUUUCCAUGUUUCAUCCUUAGGGCCAUUCUUGGGGGCUAGAGCGUCCCCCCCACUCUUGCUGUUACAACCACUGUCUUUUUUUAUUGGAUAAGUAGAAUGCGCGAUGCUGAAUCCCAGUACAAAUGCUGUCACGCCCCCCACAGCGAUGUGCCUUCCACCUCAGCCGCUGUCGGAUACCCGCGGCCUCAUGGCCCAGGACGCCAAUCAUAUCCGUUUGCCACUUUGUGACAUUAGUGGCUAUAACGCUCCCACAUUUACUAGUCACGGGAGAACCACUGCCUGCUCGUCGGUGCCACAAUCGGCUGCUCCUUUUUUUAAGCUUAACUCCUUCUAUCCCGAGGCAAACGCUCAAUGUACAGCCACAGCCUUUGAGAUUUUACCCAAUUUGCAAGGUGUCCUUUUGCGGCAUUUCCUCAAAUUUUUGCAAUCAGAUUGACUCGAGCCAGCUCACAUUUGUCCCUGAGAGGGGUGGAACUUGCCCUGGAUGGACGUCCCUCUUUUUUUUAGGAGAAAACCAGAAAAUCUCAAAAGAACCCAGGACGGCAAGGCGAGAAACGAAUUGAAACCCUGCCUGUCUGGUUAGUACCUAGUCACGUCGUAUACAAGUCAUUAUAAAUGAUUUAUUAAUUCGACAGACGUCGGUAGACAUUCAAUACAUAUUUGCUUAAUGAACUGUCGAAUGCAUUAGCUACUUGUUAGGCAAUAACAACACUGUGGGACAUUACAGUGGGAGAACUAGACACAGUUUUGCCCCUCAAGGAGCCCGUUUGGUGGCAGGCGGGGCAGGCAAGCAGACAGGCAUCGUGAGCGUAAUUAACUUCGGAGAGGCCUCGCUGUGUCCCAGGUACGGCAAAGCUGUCUUCAUGGAUUGUAUCAGUUCACCUCCACCGCGGCUUUAUGAAAGCAGUUCAGUUGCUGUCUCUUUUUUACGGACAAGAAAGCCCAGGCCCAGAAAAGGUUCAGGAACUCAGCCCAAAUUGCACAGCUAGCAAGUGCUAAGGUCAGAAGUCAGUCCCGGGCAGUCUGACUCCGACCUCACGCUUUAAACUGCUGUGCCGCUGGGGCAGCCGUGGGCGAGCAGAGGAGUGGGUGGUUUGGGGAGGUAGAGAACGUGGAGACUGGGUGAUUGGUUGGGAGGGCAAGGAAGAACCGACAACGAAGCCGGGCCUCGCGUGCUGAGCAGUGAGGAAGCUGGUGCCAUUUGCUGGACGAGCACCUUGGAGAGAAGAGGCAGGCUGAUGGAGAGAGUGUGGAUGAAUGACCACGGCAGUGUGGGACAUGUUGGCUUUGAGGUGCCCGUCGGACAUUCAGAUGGAUUUCCAAGCAAGCUAUUGACAAGGCUUUGUUAACACCGGUGGGAGAGGUCCCGGCUAGAGACGGGGAGUUGGCUGUGGUUAGGAUAACGCUUUGUUCUUGCCACUGGAUCCUUCGAAGCUUUAGUACGAGGCUAGCAACUGUUUACAAAUGCUUCGGUUUUAUUCUUUAUGUUUGACUUGUUUUUAACUUUUAAGUCUAUGAUCGUGGUUGUUAUAUUCGCCCCCUUUACCCUGCCCCCCAAAACAUAUAUCCAUGGAGAGAGGGG